rnacentral:rRNA from 1 species
UACGAAGGGGGCUAGCGUUGCUCGGAAUUACUGGGCGUAAAGGGCGCGUAGGCGGACAGUUUAGUCAGAGGUGAAAGCCCAGGGCUCAACCUUGGAAUUGCCUUUGAUACUGGCUGUCUUGAGUUCGGGAGAGGUGAGUGGAAUGCCGAGUGUAGAGGUGAAAUUCGUAGAUAUUCGGCGGAACACCAGUGGCGAAGGCGACUCACUGGCCCGAUACUGACGCUGAGGCGCGAAAGCCAGGGGAGCGAACGGG